ensembl:snRNA U6 U6 spliceosomal RNA
GUGCUCGUUUCGGCAGCACAUAUACUAAAAUUGGAACGAUACAGAGAAGGUUAGCAAGGCCCCUGCGCAAGGAUGACACGCAAAUUUGUGAAGCGUUCCAUAUUUUU